CAAAGCCCAGCAGUCUCCCUGAUUUGAGGAGCUAGAGUUGAGCAUCAGGGGAGGUCAAUCCAUCUAGAGGUUGGAGAAGGAGAGUACCAGACAAGAGAGAAAGAAGCUGCACAGAGAGAAAUUUCUGGAGAUUUCCUGAGUUCCCCUUGAGUCUUGAUACCUGAGACUAAGGAAAGAACCACCUGAAACAGGACAGCAAGACUGAGAGCAAAAUGGGAAGGGAGCAGCGAAGGAGAGAAAGCAAAGACAAGGCAGUGCAUUACAGAGCAGCUGUAGCUUCACGAGAAGACCUAGUCUGCUGCCUGGUCAACGGACAUCUCUGCAAAGGCUAUGUGGAAGCAGUGGGCCUCAGAAGACGUGUUCGAGGGAGGAUGAGAGAGAGGUUGAUGCUCUGGCUCUUUUCCAUUUCCUGUCAAGCCUGCGGCACAGAGCAUGACCUCCCUGGUGCUUCCAGAUUGUGUCCCCAGUCCCUUGGGGCCGCUGCAGGGGAAGCCAGAUCGCCUGUCCCGCGGCAAGUCCUUCCUCUGAACCCAGACAUGGCGGCAGGAGCCAAAGCCUUUGUGAGAUGCUCCAUCAGAUGCGGAUGACUGAGGAGGUCUUCACCCAGGACAGGCUGAGAUGGCAGGUGGGGGCAGCGAGCAAGUCGCCCAGGCCUGAGGGGCAAUGGGGCGAAGCGAGCCUGGGGAGAAGAAUCCGUGACUAUGUAAUACACCACUAGGCCUAGUCCUCUGGUUUCACUGCAACUUCCUCGUUUCCUACAGUGCUUCCUGUUAAGAAUGAAACUACUGCUUCUUGUAUGAGGGUGUCAAGGAAACUGCUUUGAACGAAGCUGACUUUGCCUGCUUGCUCCAGGCGUGACUUGGAGAGUCAUCUUCUCUGGGAUUUCUCCCUGGAAUUUCAGUUUAUUAGUCG
rnacentral:lncRNA from 10 species